rnacentral:rRNA from 1 species
UACGUAGGUGACCAGCGUUGUCCGGAUUUACUGGGCGUAAAGAGCGCGCAGGCGGUCGUUCAAGUCGAGUGUGAAAGCCCCCGGCUCAACUGGGGAGGGUCACUCGAUACUGAUCGACUGGAAGGCAGGAGAGGGAAGCGGAAUUCCCGGUGUAGUGGUGAAAUGCGUAGAUAUCGGGAGGAACACCAGUGGCGAAGGCGGCUUCCUGGCCUGUUCUUACGCUGAGGCGCGAAAGCUAGGGGAGCAAACGGG